CGUGUAGGCGGGUUGUUAAGUCCGCUGUGAAAGCCCGGUGCUCAACGCCGGAGGGUCGGUGGAUACUGGCAGUCUUGAAGUGGCUAGGGGGAAAUGGAAUUACCGGUGUAGCGGUGAAACGCGUAGAUAUCGGUAGGAACACCAGUGGCGAAGGCGGUUUCCUGGAGCUAACUUGACGCUGAGACGCGAAAGCUGGGGGAGCAAACG
rnacentral:rRNA from 1 species